rnacentral:snRNA from 1 species
UGAUGGGAGGGCGAGCUGGCUGUGACAUUUUCACCACAUUGAUCGCCAGGGUUGAUUUGGCUGAUUGGCUGCCUAGGCGGGUGUCCCCUUCCUCCCUCACCACUUCAUGUGUGUCCUUCCCAAAGCUGCAUGCUCGGUCAAAGAGGACGGAUGACCUUGCCCAAGUAGAAGAGGACCGGUCUUCAGUCAAGGGUAUACGAGCAGCUGCGCUCCCCUGCUAGACCUUCCAAACAAGCCCUCAAAAUACAGAUCUCUGCCAGGUCACCACUCAGUAGAGCACUUGCCAAGCAUGCGCAAGGU